rnacentral:rRNA from 1 species
UGGGGAAUAUUGCACAAUGGGCGGAAGCCUGAUGCAGCAACGCCGCGUGCGGGAUGACGGCCUUCGGGUUGUAAACCGCUUUCGCCUGUGACGAAGCGUGAGUGACGGUAAUGGGUAAAGAAGCACCGGCUAACUACGUACCAGCAGCCGCGGUGAUACGUAGGGUGCGAGCGUUGUCCGGAUUUAUUUGACGUAAAGGGCUCGUAGGUGGUUGAUCGCGUCGGAAGUGUAAUCUUGGGGCUUAACCCUGAGCGUGCUUUCGAUACGGGUUGACUUGAGGAAGGUAGGGGAGAAUGGAAUUCCUGGUGGAGCGGUGGAAUGCGCAGAUAUCAGGAGGAACACCAGUGGCGAAGGCGGUUCUCUGGGCCUUUCCUGACGCUGAGGAGCGAAAGCGUGGGGAGCGAACA